AAUGAACGUUGGCGGCAUGGAUUAGGCAUGCAAGUCGAGCGAGAAGAGUUUUGAAGCUUGCUUUAGAACUCGGACAGCGGCGAAAGGGAGAGUAACGCGUAGUUAUGUGCCCUAGGGUCCGGAAUAGCCACGGGAAACUGUGGGUAAUGCCGGAUAAUAUCCCCGGAUCAAAGGUGUGAUUCCGCCCUAGGAGCAGACUGCGUCCUACUAGCUAGUUGGUGGGGUAAUGGCCUACCAAGGCAACGAUGGGUAGCGGGUGUGAGAGCAUGACCCGUCUCACUGGGACUGAGACACUGCCCAGACACCUACGGGUGGCUGCAGUGGAGAAUCAUCGGCAAUGGGCGAAAGCCUGACCGAGCGAUGCCGCGUGCGGGAUGAAGGCCCUCGGGUUGUAAACCGCUGUCGUAGGGGAGGAAGGUUCCGUGAAGAGCGGAAUUUGACCUAUCCUAGGAGGAAGUACGGGCUAAGUUCGUGCCAGCCGCCGCGGUAA
rnacentral:rRNA from 1 species